UGGCGGACGGGUGAGUAACGCGUGGGUAACCUGCCUUACACAGGGGGAUAACACCUGGAAACAGGUGCUAAUACCGCAUAAGACCACAGCGCCGCAUGGUGCAGGGGUAAAAACUCCGGUGGUAUGGGAUGGACCCGCGUCUGAUUAGCUGGUUGGUGAGGUAAAGGCUCACCAAGGCGACGAUCAGUAGCCGACCUGAGAGGGUGACCGGCCACAUUGGGACUGAGACACGGCCCAAACUCCUACGGGAGGCAGCAG
rnacentral:rRNA from 1 species